GUCGAACGGUAACAUAAAGAAGCUUGCUUCUUUGAUGACGAGUGGCGGACGGGUGAGUAAUGCUUGGGAAUCUAGCUUAUGGAGGGGGAUAACUACGGGAAACUGUAGCUAAUACCGCGUAGAAUCGAGAGAUGAAAGUGUGGGACCUUCGGGCCACAUGCCAUAGGAUGAGCCCAAGUGGGAUUAGGUAGUUGGUGAGGUAAAGGCUCACCAAGCCGACGAUCUCUAGCUGGUCUGAGAGGACGACCAGCCACACUGGGACUGAGACACGGCCCAGACUCCUACGGGAGGCAGCAGUGGGGAAUAUUGCGCAAUAGGGGCAACCCUGACGCAGCCAUGCCGCGUGAAUGAAGAAGGCCUUCGGGUUGUAAAGUUCUUUCGGUAGCGAGGAAGGCAUUUAGUUUAAUAAACUAGGUGAUUGACGUUAACUACAGAAGAAGCACCGGCUAACUCCGUGCCAGCAGCCGCGGUAAUACGGAGGGUGCGAGCGUUAAUCGGAAUAACUGGGCGUAAAGGGCACGCAGGCGGUGACUUAAGUGAGGUGUGAAAGCCCCGGGCUUAACCUGGGAAUUGCAUUUCAUACUGGGUCGCUAGAGUACUUUAGGGAGGGGUAGAGUUCCACGUGUAGCGGUGAAAUGCGUAGAGAUGUGGAGGAAUACCGAAGGCGAAGGCAGCCCCUUGGGAAUGUACUGACGCUCAUGUGCGAAAGCGUGGGGAGCAAACAGGAUUAGAUACCCAGGUAGUCCACGCUGUAAACGAUGUCGAUUUGGGGGUUGAGCUUUGAGCUUGGCGCCCGUAGCUAACGUGAUAAAUCGACCGCCUGGGGAGUA
rnacentral:rRNA from 1 species